rnacentral:rRNA from 1 species
GAUGAACGCUGGCGGCGUGCCUAAUACAUGCAAGUCGAGCGAACGGACGAGAAGCUUGCUUUUCUGAUGUUAGCGGCGGACGGGUGAGUAACACGUGGAUAACCUACCUAUAAGACUGGGAUAACUUCGGGAAACCGGAGCUAAUACCGGAUAAUAUUUUGAACCGCAUGGUUCAAAAGUGAAAGACGGUCUUGCUGUCACUUAUAGAUGGAUCCGCGCUGCAUUAGCUAGUUGGUAAGGUAACGGCUUACCAAGGCAACGAUGCAUAGCCGACCUGAGAGGGUGAUCGGCCACACUGGAACUGAGACACGGUCCAGACUCCUACGGGAGGCAGCAGUAGGGAAUCUUCCGCAAUGGGCGAAAGCCUGACGGAGCAACGCCGCGUGAGUGAUGAAGGUCUUCGGAUCGUAAAACUCUGUUAUUAGGGAAGAACAUAUGUGUAAGUAACUGUGCACAUCUUGACGGUACCUAAUCAGAAAGCCACGGCUAACUACGUGCCAGCAGCCGCGGUAAUACGUAGGUGGCAAGCGUUAUCCGGAAUUAUUGGGCGUAAAGCGCGCGUAGGCGGUUUUUUAAGUCUGAUGUGAAAGCCCACGGCUCAACCGUGGAGGGUCAUUGGAAACUGGAAAACUUGAGUGCAGAAGAGGAAAGUGGAAUUCCAUGUGUAGCGGUGAAAUGCGCAGAGAUGUGGAGGAACACCAGUGGCGAAGGCGACUUUCUGGUCUGUAACUGACGCUGAUGUGCGAAAGCGUGGGGAUCAAACAGGAUUAGAUACCCUGGUAGUCCACGCCGUAAACGAUGAGUGCUAAGUGUUAGGGGGUUUCCGCCCCUUAGUGCUGCAGCUAACGCAUUAAGCACUCCGCCUGGGGGGUACGACCGCAAGGUUGAAACUCAAAGGAAUUGACGGGGGCCCGCACAAGCGGUGGAGCAUGUGGUUUAAUUCGAAGCAACGCGAAGAACCUUACCAAAUCUUGACAUCCUUUGACAACUCUAGAGAUAGAGCCUUCCCCUUCGGGGGACAAAGUGACAGGUGGUGCAUGGUUGUCGUCAGCUCGUGUCGUGAGAUGUUGGGUUAAGUCCCGCAACGAGCGCAACCCUUAAGCUUAGUUGCCAUCAUUAAGUUGGGCACUCUAAGUUGACUGCCGGUGACAAACCGGAGGAAGGUGGGGAUGACGUCAAAUCAUCAUGCCCCUUAUGAUUUGGGCUACACACGUGCUACAAUGGACAAUACAAAGGGCAGCGAAACCGCGAGGUCAAGCAAAUCCCAUAAAGUUGUUCUCAGUUCGGAUUGUAGUCUGCAACUCGACUACAUGAAGCUGGAAUCGCUAGUAAUCGUAGAUCAGCAUGCUACGGUGAAUACGUUCCCGGGUCU